rnacentral:rRNA from 1 species
UACGUAGGGGGCAAGCGUUGUCCGGAUUUAUUGGGCGUAAAGAGCGUGUAGGCGGCCAGAUAGGUCUGUUGUGAAGACUCGAGGCUCAACCUCGAGACGCCGAUGGAAACCAUCUGGCUAGAGUCCGGAAGAGGAGAGUGGAAUUCCUGGUGUAGCGGUGAAAUGCGCAGAUAUCAGGAAGAACACCCGUGGCUAAGGCGGCUCUCUAGUACGGUACUGACGCUGAGACGCGAAAGCGUGGGGAGCGAACAGG